UGCCAAGCCAGUGUGUCUUAUUUGCAAUGAAAAUGUCGCUGUUUGCAAAGACGUCAUUAUUAGCAUGUCCGGCCCCGCCUCAGACAGGGGCCGGACGCAGACACAUUGAAGAGUUAACUGCAAGCUACACACACACGGUUGACAUGUUAUGUCACUUAAACGGGUUACAUAUGCAGUUAAAAGGAGGGAAAACAGUCGUGGACAUGGUGGAAAAACUUGAGGCCUUUAUUAUUAGGAAGCUUGAGGUUUUCGAUUUGGACAUGUAAUCUGGAAGACUACUGCAUUUCAGCACACUGAAGAAACGACAGGCAGAGGGACCAGGCCACAGCAUUGUCACAGAGGUGAUGGAAGAUUUCAUAAAGCAGCUGAGGGACAACUUCUCCACCAGAUUUGAAGACAACAGCAUGCCCAAGGAUAUCAUUGCGUUUCAAGAUUUACAUGCUAAAAUUGCUACUGAUCUCAUGCGACAUCCACAAGAUCGUGUCCGAGGGGAAAUUCAACUUUUUCCGUUGAGAGCAGGGCAAGCAGGCUCUCACGACACAGAUAUUCAGACACAGACAGUGACUUUUUUCUUUCAAUUAUUGUUUUAUGUAAGAUGCUACAUUUUUGGCCAGUUGCAAUUGUAAGUGGGCCUAAUAAAAAAAAUCCCAUUUCUAAUAGGACAUAUAUUUUUUUGUGAAAUAUGUUGUUAAGCCUCGUAGCCGAUCUCCGUCAGUUACAUUAUUUUAUAUAGGCCUAGGCUCGGAAGAAAUAAGCCCUCUUGUUGUUUAUAAAGUCUA